rnacentral:rRNA from 1 species
UACGUAGGGUGCAAGCGUUGUUCGGAAUUACUGGGCGUAAAGGGCGCGUAGGCGGCCUGUUAAGUCGAACGUGAAAUCCCCCGGGCUCAACCCGGGAACUGCGUCCGAUACUGGCAGGCUUGAAUCCGGGAGAGGGAUGCGGAAUUCCAGGUGUAGCGGUGAAAUGCGUAGAUAUCUGGAGGAACACCGGUGGCGAAGGCGGCAUCCUGGACCGGCAUUGACGCUGAGGCGCGAAAGCGUGGGGAGCAAACGGG